UACGUAGGUGGCAAGCGUUGUCCGGAAUUAUUGGGCGUAAAGCGCGCGCAGGCGGUCCUUUAAGUCUGAUGUGAAAGCCCACGGCUCAACCGUGGGGGGUCAUUGGAAACUGGGGGACUUGAGUGCAGAAGAGGAAAGCGGAAUUCCACGUGUAGCGGUGAAAUGCGUAGAGAUGUGGAGGAACACCAGUGGCGAAGGCGGCUUUCUGGUCUGUAACUGACGCUGAGGCGCGAAAGCGUGGGGAGCAAACAGG
rnacentral:rRNA from 1 species